rnacentral:rRNA from 1 species
UACAGAGGGGGCAAGCGUUGUUCGGAAUUACUGGGCGUAAAGGGCGCGUAGGCGGCCCGCUAAGUCGAACGUGAAAUCCCCGGGCUUAACCCGGGAACUGCGUCCGAUACUGGCAGGCUUGAAUCCGGGAGAGGGAUGUGGAAUUCCAGGUGUAGCGGUGAAAUGCGUAGAUAUCUGGAGGAACACCGGUGGCGAAGGCGGCAUCCUAGACCGGUAUUGACGCUGAGGCGCGAAAGCUAGGGGAGCAAACGGG